UACGUAGGGUGCGAGCGUUGUCCGGAAUUAUUGGGCGUAAAGAGCUCGUAGGCGGUGUGUCACGUCGGCCGUGAAAACCUGCAGCUUAACUGUGGGCGUGCGGUCGAUACGGGCAUCACUGGAGUUCGGCAGGGGAGACUGGAAUUCCUGGUGUAGCGGUGAAAUGCGCAGAUAUCAGGAGGAACACCGGUGGCGAAGGCGGGUCUCUGGGCCGAUACUGACGCUGAGGAGCGAAAGCGUGGGGAGCAAACAGGAUUAGAAACCGUACGU
rnacentral:rRNA from 1 species